rnacentral:misc_RNA from 1 species
UUUCCGUAGGUGAACCUGCGGAAGGAUCAUUAUUGUAUAACCGAGGUGCGAGGGCUGUCGCUGACCCGAAAGGUCGUGCACGCCCGAGUGCCCUCACACACAUCCAUCUCACCCCUAUGUGCACCACCGCGUGGGUCCCCCUUUGGCUUGUUCGGAGGGGGGCUUACGUUUUCACACAAGCUUCGUAUGCAGUGUAGAAUGUAUUUUUUGUUUUUGCGAUCACGCAAUCAAUACAACUUUCAACAACGGAUCUCUUGGCUCUC